rnacentral:rRNA from 1 species
GCACAAGCGGUGGAUGAUGUGGUUUAAUUCGAUGCAACGCGAAAACCUUACCUACCCUUGACAUGUCCGGAAUCCCGAAGAGAUUUGGGAGUGCUCGCAAGAGAACCGGAACACAGGUGCUGCAUGGCUGUCGUCAGCUCGUGUCGUGAGAUGUUGGGUUAAGUCCCGCAACGAGCGCAACCCUUGUCAUUAGUUGCCAUCAUUUGGUUGGGCACUCUAAUGAGACUGCCGGUGACAAACCGGAGGAAGGUGGGGAUGACGUCAAGUCCUCAUGGCCCUUAUGGGUAGGGCUUCACACGUCAUACAAUGGUCGGUACAGAGGGUUGCCAACCCGCGAGGGGGAGCUAAUCCCACAAAGCCGAUCGUAGUCCGGAUCGCAGUCUGCAACUCGACUGCGUGAAGUCGGAAUCGCUAGUAAUCGCGGAUCAGCAUGUCGCGGUGAAUACGUUCCCGGGUCUU